rnacentral:rRNA from 1 species
AGGACGAACGCUGGCGGCGUGCUUAACACAUGCAAGUCGAGCGGUAAGGCCCUUUCGGGGGUACACGAGCGGCGAACGGGUGAGUAACACGUGAGUAAUCUGCCCUUCACUUUGGGAUAAGCCUCGGAAACGGGGUCUAAUACCGGAUACGACCAGCCUCCGCAUGGGGUGUUGGUGGAAACUUUUGUGGGUGGGGGAUGUGCUCGCGGCCUAUCAGCUUGUUGGUGGGGUAAUGGCCUACCAAGGCUUCGACGGGUAGCCGGCCUGAGAGGGUGACCGGCCACACUGGGACUGAGACACGGCCCAGACUCCUACGGGAGGCAGCAGUGGGGAAUAUUGGACAAUGGGGGCAACCCUGAUCCAGCCAUGCCGCGUGAGCGAUGAAGGCCUUAGGGUUGUAAAGCUCUUUCACCCGUGAAGAUAAUGACGGUAGCGGGAGAAGAAGCCCCGGCUAACUCCGUGCUAGCAGCCGC